UCUCCGUUGGUGAACCAGCGGAGGGAUCAUUAUAGAGUUUUCUAAACUCCCAACCCUUUGUGAACUUACCUUCUGUUGCCUCGGCGGGCGCUGGUCUCGACCAGCGCUCACGCCCGCCGACGGCCCACAACUCAUUGUCUGACUCUAAGCAUCUCCGAGCCAUACACAAACGAAUCAAAACUUUCAACAACGGAUCUCUUGGUUCUGGCAUCGAUGAAGAACGCAGC
rnacentral:misc_RNA from 1 species